AAGUCGUAACAAGGUUUCCGUAGGUGAACCUGCGGAAGGAUCAUUAUCGAGUUUUGAACGGGUUGUCUGCUGGCUCGCAAGGGCAUGUGCACGCCUGUCUCAUCCACUCUCAACUUCUGUGCACUUUUCAUAGGCCGGCUUGUGGGUGCGUUCGCGCAUUUGUAGGUGUCGGGCUUAUGCUUUACUACAAACGAUUCAGUUUUAGAAUGUCAUACUUUGCUAUAACGCAAUUUAUAUACAACUUUCAGCAACGGAUCUCUUGGCUCUC
rnacentral:misc_RNA from 1 species